rnacentral:rRNA from 1 species
UACGUAGGGGGCAAGCGUUAUCCGGAUUUACUGGGUGUAAAGGGAGCGUAGACGGCAGGGCAAGUCUGGAGUGAAAGGCAGGGGCCCAACCCCUGGACCGCUCUGGAAACUGUCCGGCUGGAGUGCAGGAGAGGUAAGUGGAAUUCCUAGUGUAGCGGUGAAAUGCGUAGAUAUUAGGAGGAACACCAGUGGCGAAGGCGGCUUACUGGACUGUAACUGACGUUGAGGCUCGAAAGCGUGGGGAGCAAACAGG